rnacentral:rRNA from 1 species
AUUGAACGCUGGCGGCAGGCCUAACACAUGCAAGUCGAGCGGAUCGGCGGACGGGUGAGUAAUGCCUAGGAAUCUGCCUCGUAGUUGGGGAUAACGACCGGAAACGGGCGCUAAUACCGCAUACUAUCAGAUGAGCCUAGGUCGGAUUAGUUAGUUGGUUUGGUAAAGGCCCACCAAGGCGACGAUCCGUAACUGGUCUGAGAGGAUGAUCAGUCACACCGCAACGGAGACACGGUCCAGUCUCAUACGGGAGGCAGCAGUGGGGAAUAGUGGACAAGUGGCGAAGGCCGGAUCUAGCCAUGCCGCGUGGGGGAAGAAGUGCCUCGGAUUUUAAAGGUCGUUUAGUUGGGAGGCGUUACCAACAGAAUAAGCACCGGCUAACUUCGUGCCAGCAGCCGCGGUAAUUC